rnacentral:sRNA from 1 species
GGAGGCUCGCGUUAGAUUCCCGGUAUCG